GUUUUGAGCUAGAAAAGAUGAAGAAGAAACAAAGCACUAGAGAGAAACAGACAGACAGACAGACAGACACAGAGUUCGAGAGCUCGAGAUGGAGCCCACGGAUGAGGGGGCAGAAGAGAACAAGACUUGAUGAAGAGGGGUGAAUAGAAUCGAGCUGGGAAGUGGUCAUACAGAGCUGAAACAGUGGUGCGAUUGCAAAGGAGAAAUUCUACAGAAACAAAUAAGUGAAGGGGUGCUUCGGGAGUUGAUCGGAAGGGAUCGAGGAGACCGAAUAUCUGGAUUCUGAAGGCUCAAGCCAGUGAACUACUCUUUUGGGAAUUGUCUAUGAGCUAGGAGCUAACCUAGCAGCACAGGAGAACUUUUUUGAUAUCGGGGAUCAAUGUAAGGAUUUUUGCAGUUAGACCUUAGUUAGUUGAUAAUUAUUCUUUUUGUCUCUGUCUCUCUCUCCCCCUGUCAUAUUUCUCCUGGUUCUAAGAUUACGAAACUUUUAAUUGAUUCCAUUGUACGUCGUGCUGAUUAUAAAUGGUCAUAUGAGAGCUACAUCGGCAACAGAAAGAGUCUUGCAUCAGCGUCAAUCAGCUCGCCUGAACGCGAAAAGGGUCAAGAAGAGGUCAUAAAGCGGCUUACUGAAGCCAAUGCAGUUUCAGAAAAGGCGGACAACCUGCUGAAAGCGCUUGAGCAAGCGAACAAGAGCUGCUUUGUAUCCUUAACCCCAAGACUCGCUACAUAAUGGGCUGCGACGCAAAAUAUGCUGUCUCUAGCUUGAAGCGGCUCAUUGAGGAUAGCCAGUUCAGGAAUGUUUCCUGUGAGGAGUUCACAGUUACUGUUGCAUCCAUCAAAGACUACGUUGUGACACAAUGUACACACAAGUAACCCGUCACAUAUCUGUUGAUUCGCGCACGAAUACCGGAACUACGACCUUCUACUA